UCAUAUCCGGGGAGGACAAGAGACCCAAAAUUGGGAAACAGUGAGCCUCCUGUCGCUGAGCCCUGACGUGCCCGUGCCAUCCGACCAUGGAGGGACUGAGUCCAGCCCAGGCUGGGGCUCCUCGGGACCCUGGAGCCUGAGCCCCUCCGACUCCAGCCCGUCUGGGGUCACCUCCCGCCUGCCUGGCCGCUCCACCAGCCUAGUGGAGGGCCGCAGCUGUGGCUGGGUGCCCCCACCCCCUGGCUUCGCACCGCUGGCUCCCCGCCUGGGCCCUGAGCUGUCACCCUCACCCACUUCGCCCACUGCAACCUCCACCACCCCCUCGCGCUACAAGACUGAGCUAUGUCGGACCUUCUCAGAGAGUGGGCGCUGCCGCUACGGGGCCAAGUGCCAGUUUGCCCAUGGCCUGGGCGAGCUGCGCCAGGCCAAUCGCCACCCCAAAUA
rnacentral:lncRNA from 1 species